AUGAACAAGUGGGUUUUCUGCUGGGUAACCCUUUGUCUCCUUACUGUAGAGACCACACAUGGUGAUGGUGGCAUCAUUACUCAGACACCCAAAUUCCUGAUUGGUCAGGAAGGGCAAAAACUGACCUUGAAAUGUCAACAGAAUUUCAAUCAUGAUACAAUGUACUGGUACCGACAGGAUUCAGGGAAAGGAUUGAGACUGAUCUACUAUUCAAUAACUGAAAACGAUCUUCAAAAAGGCGAUCUAUCUGAAGGCUAUGAUGCGUCUCGAGAGAAGAAGUCAUCUUUUUCUCUCACUGUGACAUCUGCCCAGAAGAACGAGAUGGCCGUUUUUCUCUGUGCCAGCAGUAUAG